CGAAACGAGAUCGAAAUUGGAAAACUCACCUCAUCCUAACACUUGCCGACCGCAAGUGGAGAUCGGCUCGCGCGCUAACUUGCUCUCUUCUUUCUUAUUAAAACGCUCAAACGGGAUGUGAUGGCCGCGCGACGUUGAUUCGACGUGGACUCGAUGUGAAAAGAGUCGACGGCGAGAAGCGCGAAGGGCUGAUUGAUAAUUGUCGUCUAUAAUAGAAGCCCUUUGAGAGCGACCGGAUGUAUUACGAGCGAGGCUCGAGAAGAGUAUGCGAGAGAUAAUGAUGAGUCCCUAAUAUAAAUAAUAGAUGAAAUUUGCCUUCUCUCGAUGUGAUGAUAAUACCCGCACGGUCAUCGUCGUCGUCGUCGUCGUCGUCGUCGUCGUCGUCGUCGUCGUCGUCGUCGUCGUCGCCCGCGCGCGCGCACGAGCGCGAGGUGCGCGUACAAGAUAUUUUUCCGCGACGUGAUUUCGACGUGAAAGAAAGUAAAGACGCCCACUGCUGAAGAAACGAACGAUCCGUUUGCUUCGCGCGGAAAUCGCAAGCGAUACAUACGCAAUUAUUAAGAUCCAAUAUAUGCGGUUUUCCUGAGCCGCGGCACCGUCAAGUCUCCCUUCUUCUUGGUAUUCUCACACACUGCUUCUUAUCUCGGCAUUCUGCUAAAUAUUCUGCUUCUUCCACAUGCGAGAUCACUUCCGAGAUCUUCGGUACGGAAUGCGGAACUUCCUGCGGGGGCUCAAGUCACCCCUUCCCUCUUUUUUUUCCUUUUCUUUUUAAACGAGAGCCUUCGAAUGCUUGAUCCAACACGACUUCGAGGAAGGGCUCGCACGGAUGCAGAGAUUUCUGCCGUACCCCGUCGCGAUCUACCCCACAAUGAUGCUCGGUCCCCCUCGAGCAUGAACGCACCUAUCUUUCCAUUCAACAAAUUAAUGCCACAGUGUCACUCUAUAUUUAGGCUGCUCGUACGACACGAAGAGAUCGGUCGUACGCGCGCGAAUCGCGCCGACCGAAUGCGAUGUAACGUUUUCCGUUUUUCCUUUUCUUAUCAUAUGAAAUUAUCAUCUCUUUCAAUACGAUAACGCGAUU